CAGUCGCCGCGGUAAAACGUAAGGUGCGAGCGUUAAUCGGAAUUACUGGGCGUAAAGCGUGCGCAGGCGGUUCGUUAAGACAGUUGUGAAAUCCCCGGGCUCAACCUGGGAAUGGCAAUGGAUACUGGCAAGCUAGAGUGUGUCAGAGGAUGGUGGAAUUCCCGGUGUAGCGGUGAAAUGCGUAGAGAUCGGGAGGAACAUCAGUGGCGAAGGCGGCCAUCUGGGACAACACUGACGCUGAGGCACGAAAGCGUGGGGAGCAAACAGGAUUAGAUACCCCGGUAGUCCCUGUCUCUUAUAC
rnacentral:rRNA from 1 species